rnacentral:rRNA from 1 species
GAUGAACGCUGGCGGCGUGCCUAAUACAUGCAAGUCGAGCGAACAGACGAGGAGCUUGCUCCUCUGACGUUAGCGGCGGACGGGUGAGUAACACGUGGAUAACCUACCUAUAAGACUGCGAUAACUUCGGGAAACCGGAGCUAAUACCGGAUAAUAUAUUGAACCGCAUGGUUCAAUAGUGAAAGACGGUUUUGCUGUCACUUAUAGAUGGAUCCGCGCCGCAUUAGCUAGUUGGUAAGGUAACGGCUUACCAAGGCAACGAUGCGUAGCCGACCUGAGAGGGUGAUCGGCCACACUGGAACUGAGACACGGUCCAGACUCCUACGGGAGGCAGCAGUAGGGAAUCUUCCGCAAUGGGCGAAAGCCCGACGGAGCAACGCCGCGUGAGUGAUGAAGGUCUUCGGAUCGUAAAACUCUGUUAUUAGGGAAGAACAAAUGUGUAAGUAACUAUGCACGUCUUGACGGUACCUAAUCAGAAAGCCACGGCUAACUACGUG